ACUCAAAUGAAUUGACGGGGGCCCGCACAAGCAGCGGAGCAUGUGGUUUAAUUCGACGAAACGCGAAGAACCUUACCUGGGCUUGACAUGUCUCUGACCGGUGUGGAAACACAUCUUCCCUUCGGGGCAGAGUCACAGGUGGUGCAUGGCUGUCGUCAGCUCGUGUCGUGAGAUGUUGGGUUAAGUCCCGCAACGAGCGCAACCCCCGUCGUAUGUUGCCAGCAUUUAGUUGGGGACUCAUACGAGACUGCCGGUGACAAACCGGAGGAAGGUGGGGAUGACGUCAAGUCAUCAUGCCCCUUAUGUCCAGGGCUACACACGUGCUACAUUGGCCGGUACAAAGGGCUGCGAUACCGCGAGGUGGAGCGAAUCCCAUAAAGCCGGUCUCGGUUCGGAUUGGAGGCUGAAACUCGCCUCCAUGAAGGUGGAGUUGCUAGUAAUCCCAGAUCAGCAACGCUGGGGUGAAUACGUUCCCGGGCCUUGCACACACCGCCCGU
rnacentral:rRNA from 1 species